GAUGAACGCUGGCGGCGUGCUUAACACAUGCAAGUCGAACGGAAAGGCUCCUGCUUGCAGGGGUACUCGAGUGGCGAACGGGUGAGUAACACGUGGGUGAUCUGCCCUGCACUUCGGGAUAAGCCUGGGAAACUGGGUCUAAUACCGGAUAGGACGAUGGUUUGGAUGCCAUUGUGGAAAGUUUUUCGGUGUGGGAUGAGCUCGCGGCCUAUCAGCUUGUUGGUGGGGUAAUGGCCUACCAAGGCGUCGACGGGUAGCCGGCCUGAGAGGGUGUACGGCCACAUUGGGACUGAGAUACGGCCCAGACUCCUACGGGAGGCAGCAGUGGGGAAUAUUGCACAAUGGGCGCAAGCCUGAUGCAGCGACGCCGCGUGGGGGAUGACGGCCUUCGGGUUGGAAACUCCUUUCGCUAGGGACGAAGCGUCUUGUGACGGUACCUGGAGAAGAAGCACCGGCUAACUACGUG
rnacentral:rRNA from 1 species